rnacentral:rRNA from 1 species
UACGUAGGGGGCAAGCGUUGUCCGGAAUCAUUGGGCGUAAAGAGCGUGUAGGCGGCCAGGUAGGUCGGUUGUGAAAACUGGAGGCUCAACCUUCAGAGGUCGACCGAAACCAUCUGGCUUGAGACCGGGAGAGGUGAGUGGAAUUCCCAGUGUAGCGGUGAAAUGCGUAGAUAUUGGGAGGAACACCAGUGGCGAAGGCGGCUCACUGGACCGGUACUGACGCUGAUGCGCGAAAGCGUGGGGAGCAAACGGG